GCUGACGAGUCCCAAAUAGGACGAAAUGCGCAUCCUGAAU
rnacentral:hammerhead_ribozyme from 1 species